ensembl:lncRNA
AGCAAAGUAUUUAUUUUUUAUUUCACCUUUAUUUAACCAGGUAGGCUAGUGGAGAACACCUUUAUUUAACCAGGUAGGCUAAUUGAGAACACCUUUAUUUAACCAGGUAGGCUAGUUGAGAACACCUUUAUUUAACCAGGUAGGCUAGUUGAGAACACCUUUAUUUAACCAGGUAGACUAGUUGAGAACACCUUUAUUUAACCAGGUAGGCUAGUUGAGAACACCUUUAUUUAACCAGGUAGGCUAGUUGAGAACAAGUUCUCAUUUGCAACUGCGACCUGGCCAAGAUAAAGCAUAGCAGUGUGAACAGACAACACAGAGUUACACAUGGA